AGCCUACUCCAGUCAGAGGCUGGUGGGCGAAAUGGCAGGAGAAUCGGGUAGAGGAUGCUCAGAAACCGCAGGUCAGCUAAGAUCUACUUGUCCCCAUCUUCAUUCCCAGUAGACGUAUCUGACCCCAGACCGGUACAGAACUGCAGGAGCUUCUCAAGAUUUGCCCAGGAUUUAAAUGAGAGCAAAAAGGUGGAGCUGUGUCAGGGCCCGGGCAGGUAGCUGAAGGCAGGAUGCUGCCUGCAGAGGCUGAGAAACCCCACUGCAAAGCCAAGCGUGUUCGUGAGCAGCGUGGCUGUGCUCAGGGUGCCUCAGAAGUGCACCCUGCUUAAGAAAAGGCGUGGGCAGGAACGGGGAAGAAGAAACUGGCCUGUGUUUCUUCGUGGAGCACGCUGUGCCUAAUUCUAGCGAGUGUGGUUAACCCUGGGGUUUCAAAACUAUCACGCUUUAUCUGUGCAGCUUAGUAACAAGAAGAAAAACGAGGCCUUAUGAUGAUCCCAUGACUGGAGCAAAAGCAGAGGCUGCAUGAUGGUUGCUGCUGGUGGUGGUUGCCCCUCGCCUGCUGCUACAGCAAAGCUUGCGUGCCAGCCAGGUUGGUAGCCUUUGCUUGCAUAGUGUGUCCGUGUUAAAUAAUAUGCCAACAACUGGCCUUCCGGAUGAUUUUGGAAAGAACACUGUGGAAUGAUCUUUGGCUGCAUCAGCAUCUUUCUGUGGUGGUGCCGAGCCAAGGAAAGACCAGAAAGUGCCCAGUAAACAUUUUGCUGACAAUAGCAGGCAAGAGGCAUGAAAAGAAACCAACCUAUCUGGUUUCAGGGAUUCACUAUAGCUGAUCAGCUCCAAAAUCAGUAGAUUCUGGCUUGUAGUACUGACAAGCUUGUUCCUGCUACUUCUGAAACCUUCAGAGUCAGUACGGGCAUUGCCAGAGACUGGAGCUGCCAGCAAACCUCUCCUAGCAAAUGCCUUCUUGCUACCAGGAGAAGGAACUUUGAGCUAUUUCUUGUGGCACAACUGUAGCCCUGCUGCUGACAGCCGAGCAGCUUUAUGUAGGUUUUAGCCUCCUGGUCCUCGCUCAGAUACGCUUCUUCCUAUUCUGUCACACGAAACGAAGCCCCCAGCUUAUCCCGAGCCCUCCAGAUGGCUGCCCCACAGCACAAACCGAAGCAAUCACUGCAGUGGCCUGUGCCGUGACAGCAAAUCCAAGCACAGCAGCCUCCAGCCCUGUGCAUCCAGCAGUGACACGAGUAUAUUCAGUUAACCUUUUCAGACAGGCAUCAGGCGCUAUUGCAUCUCAGCCCCAAUUCCUUAAAGCCAGCUCCUAAUAAGUCACAGGCCAGAUGGACUUGCAUAACCUCGUGCUUUCCACCACCCUUCCUCUCUACCAGCUCCCUAAAGAAGAGAAGCCCCCUCAGACACAGACUGUGCUCGGUGCAGGUGCCAGUGCAACGUGUGGGCGCAGCGAAAAGCCGCCUCGGGUAUUUCACAUCCCUGCUCCUACCUGCCUCCCUCCCUCCACCUCUGUGCCUGUGCUGGUGGCUAGCUGAAAGAAAGAAAACCUGAUAGUCAGAGCUGCUUCAUUUUGAAUUGUCCUUUGCAGUGCCUCUCUCACCUACUCCGGUACGUCAAGCAAUUCAAGCCGGGGUUAUAGCAAAGAACAGGAAGGAAAUUUAAGCUGUUGGUCCCCAGCUGUCGGAGCCACGCUGCUGUGGUCCUUCUUCCCCCCACCCUCCAGCUGCAUGUUCCUGCCUCGUCUCUUGACCCGGCAGUGAUGCUUGAUGCAUGCUGGUUCAGGGGGUAAAACUAGCAGAAAACCGGCAUUAAGAAGAAGGGACAAAUUUCUGCUGGUUUAGCUGAGCAGGCUCAAAUCAGACUGGACAAACUAUUUAACUGCGCUAAGGUGCGUCCUUAGAGUACAGGUAAGGGCCAGGGGCCAUGCAAGGGCAGCAAAGCCUUUUCCUCUAAACCCCUGGAGGGAUAAAUUCCCAUGGUGAAGUGACCCUCCCUUUGCUUCCCAUGGAAAGGAUAACCUUUUUUUUUCUUCGGUGAAUCUGUUUUUGAUUGUGUUUUUCCUUCCGAGGACCGGGGGUUUAUUUCCUUGACAAGUUGAUUUCUCGAAUUCAUUGUGUGCUGCAGGGCACAGAAGAUUUAAUCUCACAAGAGAGAUGCCCAGUAACGUAAAGCAAUGAUGUAAUGCCACCCAGCUCCCCCACUGGGUCCUCCAGGGGAGAAAUAUCUACCUGAAACUUCUCCAGCUUCUUGACUGAUCAUAUUCAAACUCCGAUUUAUUUAUCUCUGUUUUGCAUAUCUCCAUCUGCACCGCUUCUUGCACAUCUCCAUGGAGAUGAAGAAACAAGGCUGGAUAAUGCCAUUCUGGCGUUGCCCAGCCGCUGACACGGGUCCCACCAGAUGCUGCACAACCGGGCGCAGAAACCAGCACCCACCCCAGGAGAUCCCAGCGGGGACCUGGUCCAGCGGCUCCUGCACAGCUGGCCGCUAAAGACAGGAUUUCUAAAUGAGCCCGAGAAUUACACAUGCAAAUCCCAAAGGCCUGGAAUUGGGAACAUCUGAGCAACAAUUUGUCCUUGCUAAAGAUGGUGUUGGAGCCAAAAGGCUACAGAUUUCAGGCCUGUUAGACCGGGCAGCAUCCGUGCCUCCAGCUACCAACCCAUCUGCCAGCACCGGGCUCUGCGGUCAGGUUUUGUCCCCGUGGCAGGACAGACAGAUUUCUGCUGCACCGGGAGGCUGCACCUGGUGCUGCCCAGCACCGUGAGUUGCAGAAUUGCUGUUCUGUGCAGGCAUUUGGAGAUCGGGGGCCGCUGCUGAUUUAACUACGGGCCAAAGCCUGCAACGAGGUUUGGUG